CGGACGGGUGAGUAACGCGUAAGAACUUGCCCUUUAGACUGGGAUAACAGAGGGAAACUUCUGAUAAUACUGGAUAAGUUAGUAUAUCGCAUGAUAUGCAAAUGAAAGCUACGGCACUAAAGGAGAGCUUUGCGUCCUAUUAGCUAGUUGGUAAGGUAAGAGCUUACCAAGGCGAUGAUAGGUAGCCGGCCUGAGAGGGUGGACGGCCACAAGGGGACUGAGAUACGGCCCUUACUCCUACGGGAGGCAGCAGAA
rnacentral:rRNA from 1 species